rnacentral:lncRNA from 1 species
UACCCUCGUGUAAGCCGUUUGUAUAUGUUUCCGCUAGUGCUUUUCUCUAUUGAUGAAAAUGUACAUGUGAUGAGCCUUGGGCGGACAGGGGAAACUCUGUCCGUUCGGCGUCUGUUUGACGUGCUCGGGUCGGGCCAAAUUGGCAUCGGUCCCGGGGCGUGACAGAUAUCGUGGUAUCAGAGCCAAGAGUGAAAGAAUAGGAAUAGACCUAGAGACCCUUAGGAUUGGAAGGCCUUAAGGAUCUAGGGAACGUGAGUGACGUGGGAUCAAAGUUAGCGAAAGCAUGUGAUUGGGUUAAGUUGGAACGUCUCUAAUGUGAUUAGAGGCUAAGUUUAAUUUUCGUUUAUCCUCUACUUCUAGUGUUGUGUCGGGCGGCCGACGACAUGACGCUUGAGGCAGGGAUGAAUGUGCAUGUUGCUUUCGCCUAAUUGGGUAUGGUCAAGUAAUGUUGGUCAAGUGACUAAUGCGAGUUGCUUCUUUUCAGGAAGCAAUGGCACCUCGACGUCGAUCGCAGACAAGGUCGAUGCCGGAGGAAACGAAUGCGGUGCCCGAGCAAUCCGGAGCAAGUGGCGACGGAGAGCUUAGGGAACAAAUGGCCGCGCUUAUUGGCGUAGUGCGGCAGCAAGCGGAGUCUGUUCAACGCCAAGGGGAACAGAUUCAGCGGCUCCAGGAGACCUUGGAGCGCCAGCAGGCGGCGGCGGCCCAGGCGGGUGUCGAGCAUGUCGCGCCCCCUGUGGUAGUGCCGAGUGUUGUGGAGGGAGCGGCGGCAGCAGCGGCUGUUCCAGUUACGGUA